AUAUGUAUGUGUAUAUAUAUAUAUAUAUGUUACAUGUAUGAAAACCAUCUAAGGGAUAGAUUUAUCCAGAGGCACUCCUGGUAAUUACCUCAGUAUGUAUGGUCCUUGUUAUAAGGUAUACAGUAGUGGGUAAUUUAAAGGUAAACCGUAGUUUCAUG